rnacentral:miRNA from 1 species
UUUGUGUUUUUGUGUGUGUGCAUGUGCAUGUGUGCAUGUAUUCAGUAUACAAUGCACACACACAUAUAGCUGACUGUUA